AACUUUGCACAGUGGAAGUAUCGUAGCCAAUGAGGUUUAUCCGAGGCGUGAUUAUUGCUAAUUGAAAACUUUUCCCAAUACCCCGCUGUGACGGCUUGCAAUACAAUCGGCACUGGCAAUUUUUGACAGUCUCUACAGAGA
rnacentral:snRNA from 1 species